GAUGGAUGAUCACUCAUGCAAAGCAGUUCAGAGUCAUGUGCCAGCUAAGUGAAUCUGGCAUGGGCAGCUGACAUUGAUGUUCCAGUUGACAUUUCUGUAAAUGAAGAGGGAACCCCAAAGGAAAACAAUGCAUCUGAAACCAACCCCAUAGAAGAUUCAGGGUCAAGUGAGUACAUUGCUUCUGGCCAUGUGGGCUAUGGAAACACUUCUUUGACAUGGACCCUCAGGUUUAGG
rnacentral:lncRNA from 11 species